CCUGGUUUCCCCAAAUAGGUGGACAUUCACGAAGCACAUGCAUGGUGAACAGAGUGGGGCAUGCUAAUGUUAGUCUCUAGGUAAUUCACAAUGACACCAGUUCCAGUAUCCUAUCCUGGUUUGGCAGAAGAAACCAAAGCACAGAUCCUUAAGCAUACUGCUCCAAGCCACCCAGGGGGGUGUUCACAGCAGUUCUGAGUUUAGAGCACAGUUCUGCACACCUAGUCGGGCAGCAGGUGCUGCUCUUUGUGAGGCCUCACAGUGGCACCAACAAGGGGAGUCAGAAAUCAGUGAUGCUACUGGGUCUUCAGAUGACCACAGAGCUCGCUCACAGUGAAGUCAUCUGGUGAACAAGGCACACUGAAAGUAUGUAAGAUACAUCUAUGUCCUCUGCUCACUCUAAGCACUGUGAGCUGGGGUUUAGUGUUUGAAACAGCUUGCUUCUCUGCCUUUUGAAAGGACAGUCCUAACCUAUUCUAGCAUCAAUGAGCCUGUAUUGCUGCCUGACAUAAAGCACCCUGUACCCCCUCCUGACGGGUGCUGAACUAGCUCACAGCUGGGACUCAACUGUAGCAAGGCAGGGAAAGUUGGGAGUGAGAGAGGCAGUGUCAGGACCCAGCUCUGUAAGUCACCCAUGUAAAUAGAAUGAAUCUCCUCCACUCAGCUAUGCAACACCACCACCAAUCUAAGCCACACUGGGCGAGUUACUCACCUGACAAAGAUCUUCUCCAUCUCUUCCAGCCUGUACACCUCCUUCACCCUGUUGAGUAGAGCAGGUGAGGACAGUUUCCUGGGAUGUUUGUGACAGAGGCCCUAGACCUGCCCUUAUCCUCAGAUUCUCUGAGCCCAGCAGCCCACAAAUGAGGUUGCUGGGCCUGCGGCACUGCUACCCUACUGAUUGCCUAGGCUUCCGAGCUGCUACAUAGCCCUUUGGGCCUGUACAGCAGCUGGGAUUCAGCAGUGAGUCCUGAAGACAGGAGAGGGCAAAGGAAGAUAUGGCAGGCAAACUUUUCUAACACCACCCUUAUUCUCAAGGAACCUUCACUGACACUACAGGUCAGAAAUCCAAAGGCCAGGCUUUAGAUCUUCCUACAGCUGAGUUAUUCUAAAUAGUCUUGGUACUUCUGUUAUUUUGAGGGUGUAGGCUCUAGUUUGAGGCCCAGCCCUCCACAUAUAGAGACCCCAAACCUGCCUUGGGAACUGCACCUGGAUAAGCUGCCUGUUUUAACUAGCAGGCAGGAUGUCAUAUUAGCACAAGCAGAACUCAUGCUGAGGCUGUCUUGCAUCUUCAGUGCUGGAGUUAUUUCUAAGUUUACUUAGAUGAACAUUACCAAUGACUCUGCUAACAUAUCAAUAAGCACUUUACCCUUCAGUGCUGUCUGUAAUAGCCUCUGACCUGGAGAAGGUAGUCUACUCUCUAUCCCUUCCCUCCUCUUGCCCUGAGCCUGGUAUUUUACCCUACCUACGGUUGACAAGCCCCACUCUCCUCAAGCACUGAGUUUCACUCCCCUAACCAUCCUUUCAUAAUCAAAUCCCCAUUCCCUUACUUAUUUCCUUACCCAGAGGCCAUGCAGUCAGUAAAGGAUACUCAAGCAUGAAAGGGCACAUGUGCAUCUCAAAUUAGGAAACCUUAAUCCAUCCUGCCAGGCAGGACAGGGAGCUGCAUCCCCAAACUACUGACAUGGCAGUUUAUCCCCAGGCCCUUCUACAACCCUCCCAUCCCACUGAGGAUAGGAGAAAUAAGCAACAAAGCCACUACCUGAGGGAGUUGGGGAGGGGGGCAUGCUCACCUGAUAGGAUUCAUGUCAGGCCGACUGGGCUUGGAGACCGCUUUCACAAAUUUCUCAGCAAGCUGAAUUCUACAAUCCAAACAGAAUCCUUAGAGGAAAGCCAGGGAACCUCAGUAACAUCUGUGCCCCAAGGCAUUUUCACAGCAUCAGUGGGAGCCUGGACUUAUACAACACUUCCAAGUGGUAGCAUUCAUGUCCCCUGGAUUCUGACCUCUGUGAGCUGCUUUUCCUAAAGUGUGUCUUUUGUUGUGUUCAGUCAUCUCCACUAGGACAUCAAGAACCGUUAUUGUACAUGUCUGCUCUUUCACCUAGCUCAUGUUUCAUGUCUAGCUCAGAUGCGCCAAAUUGCGACUGCCCAAGUUCUGACCACAAUUUUUAGAAGAAACCCUCCCUCUUCUAACAGAGCCACCUUUAUUCAGUCUUUACACAAAAAUGACCGAUCUGAACAACUGUAGCAUGACAAAAUGUGAUGGAAUUGGGCAACCAAAGCCCACACCUCAGCAAACUGCAAUGUAGACCCAUCUUUCCUCCUGCCUUUGGUGGACAUGGGAAGUCCCUCCAUCCCUCCCUCCUCCCCUCCCUCCCCUAGGGCCCAGGCACACCGCUGGUUGAAGUGCUGCUCUCUGACGUCACUGCCAUUCAGCACCAGGACAUCGAGGAUGUGGAUUGCACUGAUCUUCCGCUGGGCCUUCCCCUACAAGGGACAAGCAUGCUCUCCACUGUGCAGAAAAGCAACAGAAGACCUCUGUGAUGCCAACAGAAUGAACACACAAGUGUGGCCAGAAGCUGUCCACAUCUCCAGACAGAGGACCCCACGCCAAUGGGAGGCCAGAAGCUGACUUACCCCCAGGCCCAGGAGGAAUUUCUGCUCGCUGCCGGACACCAUACAACGAUAGUCCAACACGGGACGGAUCUUCUCUAGGGUUUUGGCAGUGAGCAGUGUGGGCUUGUAGCUGAAGAUGUUGAUGUCGGUGUCCU